rnacentral:rRNA from 1 species
AAAGCGUGCGCAGGCGGUUAUGCAAGACAGAUGUGAAAUCCCCGGGCUCAACCUGGGAACUGCAUUUGUGACUGCAUAGCUAGAGUACGGUAGAGGGGGAUGGAAUUCCGCGUGUAGCAGUGAAAUGCGUAGAUAUGCGGAGGAACACCGAUGGCGAAGGCAAUCCCCUGGACCUGUACUGACGCUCAUGCACGAAAGCGUGGGGAGCAAACAGGAUUAGAUACCCCAGU